UUAUAUUUGCUGAGGGACAAGAGACUUAACCUCAGUGGAUUUCUGGAUGGCCAGCCUGGACAGCUUUGCCACAAUUACACAGUCAUUCUGUUGAUUCACCUGCAUCCUUUAAUUUUGGGUUCUUCAUCUGCCGAUUCUGUAUCUGUCAGCAGACAUUCUCCUGUAAGCCACAGAGUCGCAUGCUGUCACUAGAGAGUCGCUGGACAUUAAGGCUGCUUGAGCAGUUUGAAAGAAAAAGCAUGAGGCGACAGCUAUUCUUUGUAAAGUUCAGUAAAGCAGAGACAGCCUUGAAGCAGAAAACUCUGUUUGAUCUCAAGUUAUUUUCCCUCUUCAGCAUCCACCAAGUUUAUCUCAAGCAGAGGUGUAUGUUGCUUCCAAUUGUUUGAGACAAGCAGGUAUUAUAUGCAGAUGCUUAGAGGAUGUGCACAAAGGAGAAUAUGCCCUGUCCACCGUAAUGGACUUGAACUGAUGAGAAAAGGACAUAUAAGUUCAACUUGCAGAGCAGAAGAAAAGCCAGUUCUGGACCCUGGAGCAAGUAUGUGACUUUCUUCCAUGUUAUACUCACAUCUUAUCAAAAUUUAUCUCUGCAAGGAAAUACUGAAAGAAUAUCAGUGAGAAUGAAGCUCUCGGAUGAGUAUCUCAGGUCAGUGAAGAAACCAGUCAAACCCAAUGAAUUAUCUUUCAAGUUAACUUCAUGUUUUUACCUAUGAAUUUUGGGGGUCAGUGGUUUUAGCUAGUUUGGAAAAAGUUGAAAACAAAGGCGUUAUUUAUAUCAGAGCAUCUUGCAUGUUCCAAGGGGAGUUAUCUUCUCAGUUGGCCAAUCUUAAGAGGACUGCUGCAAGUAUGGUUCAUAGCCGACUCCUUUAAAAACAAAACAAGUAGCAAGGGACUCAUGAUCAUGAUCCAUGUAAUUUUGCACAUCUUACUCUGAUACUCCUUUUGUAAUGUGAUUUCAAAAAGAAAAAUAAAAGUUUUCUGUUAAUUAUGA